GAAUUGGGGAUAACGUUGCGAAAGUGACGCUAAUACCGAAUGAUAUCAUAGGGACUUUGGUCCUUUUGAUCAAAGAUGGCCUCUCCUUGGAAGCUAUUGUUUGAAGAUGAGCCCGCGUCCCAUUAGCUUGUUGGUGGGGUAAUGGCCUACCAAGGCAGCGAUGGGUAGCUGGUCUGAGAGGAUGAUCAGCCACACUGGAACUGACACACGGUCCAGACUCCUACGGGAGGCAGCAGUGAGGAAUUUUGCGCAAUGGGGGAAACCCUGACGCAGCAACGCCGCGUGAGUGAUGAAGGCUUUCGGGUCGUAAAGCUCUGUCAAGUGGGAAGAACUCCCGUGAGGUUAAUACCCUCAUGGUUUGACGGUACCACUGAAGGAAGCACCGGCUAACUCCGUGCCAGCAGCCGCGGUAAUACGGGGGGUGCAAGCGUUAUUCGGAUUUACUGGGCGUAAAGCGCGCGUAGGCGGCCGUUUAAGUCAGAUGUGAAAGCCCGGAGCUCAACCCCGGAAGUGCAUUUGAUACUAUUCGGCUUGAGUAUGGGAGAGGGAAGUGGAAUUCCUGGUGUAGAGGUGAAAUUCGUAGAUAUCAGGAGGAACACCGGUGGCGAAGGCGACUUCCUGGACCAAUACUGACGCUGAGGCGCGAAGGCGUGGGGAGCAAACAGGAUUAGAUACCCUGGUAGUCCACGCAGUAAACGGUGAUCACUAGGUGUAGCGGGUAUUGACCCCUGCUGUGCCGCAGCUAACGCAUUAAGUGAUCCGCCUGGGGAGUACGGCCGCAAGGUUAAAACUCAAAGGAAUUGACGG
rnacentral:rRNA from 1 species